GACAGAGGGUGCAAACGUUGUUCGGAAUUACUGGGCGUAAAGCGUGUGUAGGCGGUCUCAUAAGUCGGAUGUGAAAGCCCCGGGCUCAACCCGGGAAGUGCAUUCGAAACUGCGAGGCUAGAGUAUCGGAGAGGUUGGUGGAAUUCUCGGUGUAGAGGUGAAAUUCGUAGAUAUCGAGAGGAACACCGGUGGCGAAGGCGGCCAACUGGACGAAUACUGACGCUGAGACACGAAAGCGUGGGGAGCGAUCCGG
rnacentral:rRNA from 1 species